CACCGCGGUUAUACGAGGGACUCAAGUUGACAGUCAUCGGCGUAAAGAGUGGUUAAGACGAAUAAAAACUAAAGCCAAAUACCUUCAAAGCUGUUAUACGCUCUCGAAGGCAAGAAGCCCAACUACGAAAGUGGCUUUAUUACAUCUGACCCCACGAAAGCUAGGGUA
rnacentral:rRNA from 1 species